GGGUUUUUUUCCUGACUGUUCCAUAUUCCCAUGCUAAGAUUAAGACAAUGUUUCGCUUUAAGAAGGCCCUGAGGCAAUAUAUGCUUUACUUUUCCUUUGUCAUGUCAGACGUCAAACCAUGAUGUGUCCGCUUGGCAGGCAGGACUGAUGCACCUUGCAAGGUAGAGAGACUCAAUUUCUUGGGGCGACCUUCUCUUUUGAUAUUGUUGGUAUGCGAGUGGUGCUGGAGGCACAGAGUCAUUAGACCUAGAAAGGCCUAAGCCUUGUGAGUGUAAUUAUGAGCACUCCUUCUCUAGACACCUGAAUGCUGAUAUAGUGUUAUUCAAUCGGCUACAAAAAGCUUUUGAAGGGGCUCAUUCUCUAGAAGGAUAUCAGCAGAGCAUCAAGUUCCUGUGUUUGUCUGUCAUCCAGUGUGACUUCAAACGUACUUCAAUUUAAGUCCUAUUUGGUCUUUUAUAAAGCAAAUUCUUUAAUAUCUUGUUCUUCACUUAAAUCACAUUAACAAUAUACCCCUAAAAUUAUUCUCCUGAGUAGUCACAUUUUUUUAAAAAAUGACAGUUUCUCUAUAGAGAGGAAAGAGCAUUUGAAAUAAUGUUGGGUAUUUUGCCAAGUCUGUCAAAAGAGUAACACUUCCACUUUCUCAGCUCUGUCUCAUUAAAAUUGUAUUCUAA